AGGACGAACGCUGGCGGCGUGCUUAACACAUGCAAGUCGAACGGUAAGGCCCCUUCGGGGGUACACGAGUGGCGAACGGGUGAGUAACACGUGGGUAAUCUGCCCUGCACUUCGGGAUAAGCCUGGGAAACUGGGUCUAAUACCGGAUAUGAGCUCCUGCCGCAUGGUGGGGGUUGGAAAGUUUUUCGGUGCAGGGAUGAGUCCGCGGCCUAUCAGCUUGUUGGUGGGGUAAUGGCCUACCAAGGCGACGACGGGUAGCCGGCCUGGAGAGGGUGAUCGGCCACACUGGGGGCUGAGACACGGCCCAGACUCCUACGGGAGGCAGCAGUGGGGAAUAUUGCACAAGUGGGCGGAAGCCUGAUGCAGCGACGCCGCGUGGGGGAUGGACGGUCUUCGGAUUGUAAACCCUUUCGAGUAGGACGAAGCGAAAGUGACGGUACCUGCAGAGAAGCACGCUAACUACGUGCCAGCAGCCGC
rnacentral:rRNA from 1 species